GUAGGUGACUGGGGGAUGGAUGCAGCAAACCACCAUGGCACGUGUAUACCUAUGUAACAAUCCUGCACCAUCCGCACAUGUGCCCCAGAACUUAAAGUAAAAAAAAAAAACAGAAAGAAACACUAUUUUUACUUUUACUGUCGUGAUUUUCCUGAUUAGAUGAUGGCCAUAACUGUACCCAUUUGAGAUUCCUAAUGGAAGAGACAGUAUCCUGUGGCUCCUCCUUCUCUAUCUACUUACAUCCAAUGGUCAGCUAAGUUUAGUAAUUUACCUCAGAAAUCACCUUAGGCGCCACAGUCCUAAUUCUCCAAUAAUUGCUACUUAGCUCCAAUCUUCAUAUCUCAAGCUUAGCCCAUUGUCAUGUUCUUAACUACUUCUUCUCUUCUCUCCUGACCUUUCUAGUCCAUCCUCAACACUGAGGGUGGUAUUAUCAUGCUAAUGUACACAUCUUACUCUAUCAACUUUCCUAAAAUUGUUUCUCUGUAACUCCAAUUACCUUAGCAUAGGAUUCAGGGGAUUAGUUACAGAAUCCCUGCAGAUACCAAAUCCAUGGAUGCUCAAACCCCUUAUAUAAAGUGGCACAGUAUUUGCAUAGAACCUACACACAGUCUCCUGUAUACUUAACUAAUCUCUAGAUUAUUCAUAACAUCUAAUACAACAUACAUUCUAUAUGGAAACACAGUUGUGUCCCUUCAUGACAGGGAUACAUUCUGGGAAAUGCCUCUUUAGGCAAUUUUGACCUUGUGAGGAUAUCAUAGCAUCUACUUACACAAACACUGAUGGUCUAACGUAUUACAAAACUAGGCUCUGUGGUACUGCGUAUUGAUACUAGGCUACAAACCUGUGUACUUGUUCCUGCACUGAAUACUACAGGCAAUUGUAACACAGUGAUAAGUGUUUGUGUAGCUAAACAUAUAUAAACAAAGAAAAGGUAAAGUAAAAAUAAGCUACUAUAAACUUACGGGACCACCAUUGCAUAUUUGGUCUGCUGUUAACUGGAACCUCAUAUGUGACACAUGACUAGAGUUGUUAUAUUGCAUUGUUGUGUUAUUUGUUGUUUUUUCCCUAAUAUUUUUUAUUCAAAAAAUCCAAAUGUGUGGAACCUGCAGAUAUAGAGGGCCAACUAUAUCCAUUCACCACAUGGACCCAGUAAACCUUCUAGCUUCAUCAUCAACUUACUCUUUCCUUCUCCAAAGCUCUGGCCAAAACAAUCAACUCGCAGCUCUCAUAGAGAUGCAUAAAGUUUCACAAUUGGGACUUUACACACUUUAUCUCCUCAUUAAUACAAUGCCUUUCUUCCUGCCAACUCUAAAAAACCCCUCUCAUCCCUAAAGACCAAACUCAAAAUAUCGUAGGCUUUAUGAACCAUGACCUGUCAAAUAGAAUUAAUCAUUCCCCGUUCCUGUUCCCAUGCUACUAAAUCGCUCCACAAUGGCACUAAAUAAUAGUUUCCAUAUAUAAGAUUUCCCCACUAGAUUAGACAAGGGUAGUGUUUUAUUAAUUUUUGUAUGCUUACGUCAUCAUGCAAGAUCUGACAUACAGUAUGAACUAAGCAUUCAUUGAAUGGGUUAGAAAAUAGCUUAGAGAUUAUUUAGUCCCACUUCUUUCCCAAAGUUUAAAUAUCAUUUACGAUAUCCCUGGGAGAUGUUUAUUAGUCACCACACCAACCUUAUCAAGGUCAGAUAGCGCAAUAUUAGAAAGAUGUACCAUUUCAUUAUUCAGCCUAACAUUUCAAAGGUUUUCUGUGUUAGGCUUCAAUUUUGUCUCUGAAUCUUCUCCUAUACCCUACUCCCACUAGUCCUAUUUUUAUCCUCUGAAAAAACUUAUAAUAGAACAGUUUUUUGAUAUGGCAACAUUUCAAGAUUCAAUCGAUUCAACAGAUAUCUUUCUAAAGAUAUCUGCUACACCAUCAUUUGCUGUCUCAUUAAUUUAACUAUUCUUAACCCCCUGGGAGGGGACACAUCUCCUUAUAUACUUCUCCUUAUGUAUUUUAGUUUACUGAAAUCUCCUUAUGGAUAUAUUAUUCAGUUCUCAAAGUGCAAUGCCAGAAACAGACCCACUCCUCCAGCUGCAGUUACAGCAGGGCAUGUGCAGUAGAACUAUGAUAUGCUGAUCUGAACGUUACAGAUCUUGUAAUGUGGCUGCUGACUGCACAUUUGCAAAACUUCUUAUCUCUGUUUCUAGUUUCAAUCUCCCUCAAUCUUUCACGACUGAUGUUGAGCCAUAGUAGAACCAACUGUUCAUUCUAGCCUCGACCUUUAAAGAAUGCUGAGUUGCUCAUGAAUUAUGUGUCCGUGUAAAGCUCAUGUAAGAUUUGGAGAGCAGUUUCCAAAUCUCUCAUUUACUCAGCCUAACUUGCAACUUACCUAUCAUCAUACUUGUUCUCAUCACCUUAGUAUGCUUUCCCCUGGAUUUUUGCACUGUUUCCAUAUCUACUUCAAGUCAUAUUUCUUUUGAUGGCCACUUUUCAAAUGAAUUGAAAAUAACUACCUUGUUACUUGUACUGACACUAUUAUCCAUAAUAGAUACUGAGCAUUAGAUACCUUUUUUUUUUUUUGAGAUGGAGUUUCACUCUUAUCACCAGGCUAGUGUGAAAUGGCACAAUCUCAGCUCACUGCAACCUCCACCUCCCAGGUUCAAACAAUUGCCAAGCCUCGGCCUCCCGAGUAGCUAGGAUUACAGAUAUGUGCCCUCACGCCCAGCUAAUUUUUGUAUUAUUAGCAGAGAUGGGGUUUUACCAUGUUGGCUAGACUGGUCUUGAACACCUGACCUCAGGUGGUCCACCUGCCUUGGCUUCACAAAGUGCUGGGAUUAGAGAAGUGAGCCACCGUGCCUUGCUUGCGUUACAUACUUUCUAUGUGCUGGAUCUUACCAUAGGUACUUUAAAUAAAUUAUCUGGAUUUGAAAGGAAAAUUUUUAUAAAAUAUGUUUAAUCAGAAUUGAGGUAAACACCAUACUUAACGUGUGAGCGUUCAAAGUCAUGUCGUUUUUGGCAAAUAUUUAUCUGUCUUUCAUUGUUCUCCAGGAUUCAGAACUCAUAAUUCUUCUUUAUCUUCUAAUUUAUAUUCCCUUUAAUAAGUUGCAGCCCUUUAAUCUGAAAUCUUGCUUUCAUUCUUUGCUUUCUUUGUAGGUAGAAUUUACAUAAUUUGAAUAUUUCAGGUCUAUUAAUGCUGAGCAUGACUGUGGCCGAACUCUAUGUGCCAGGGGGUUAAAAUUUCCUGCACCCGGUGGGAGUGUAAAUUAGUUCAACCAUUGUGGAAGACAGUGUGGCGAUUCCUCAAGGCCUUAGAAAUAGAAAUUCCAUUUGACCCAGCAAUCCCAUUACUGGGUAUAUAUCCAAAAGUCUGUAAAUCAUUCUACUAUAAGGGCACAUGUACACGAAUGUUCAUUGCAGCACUGUUUACAAUAGCAAAGACCUGGAAUCAACCCAAAUGCCCAUUGAUAAUAGACUGGAUUGGAAAAAUGUGGCACAUAUACACCAUGGAAUAUUAUGCAGCAAUCAGAAAUGAUGAGUUUGUGUCAUUUGUAGGGACAUGGAUGAAUCUGGAGAACAUCAUCCUCAGCAAACUGACACAAGAACAGAAAAUGAAACACCGCAUAUUCUCACUCAUAGAGGGAGAUGCAGACGCAUGAACGGGGAACAAUGAUAUGGCGAUGUCAGUGCAGUGAAAGAAGUGUUCUGGAGACAUCAGGAAACCAUACAACCCAGGGAGCAGACGAAUUUUCCUGUAGAAAGUAACAUCUCUGCUGGGAACAUUCAGACGAGGAAGAUGAGACGUGUUGCCUGGAGACAGAGCAGCCACCUAAGGACCACGGAAACAAAAAGUCAAAUGCCAAGGACGCUGCAAGAAGAAGGAAAGGGAAACCAAGUCCCUAAGACCUUAAUGGAACUACUGAUUUGUGUGACUAAAAUAAACCUUUAUUUAAGUCCUGGCGAGUGGUUCUUUUAACAAAGCAGUCAUAACCAAACCAGCAUCUUCUUUGCCACUUGACA